UACAGAGGGGGCAAGCGUUGUUCGGAAUUACUGGGCGUAAAGGGCGCGUAGGCGGCCAACUAAGUCAGACGUGAAAUCCCUCGGCUUAACCGGGGAACUGCGUCUGAUACUGGAUGGCUUGAGUUUGGGAGAGGGAUGCGGAAUUCCAGGUGUAGCGGUGAAAUGCGUAGAUAUCUGGAGGAACACCGGUGGCGAAGGCGGCAUCCUGGACCGGCAUUGACGCUGAGGCGCGAAAGCCAGGGGAGCAAACGGG
rnacentral:rRNA from 1 species